UUGGAGGGCAAGUCUGGUGCCAGCAGCCGCGGUAAUUCCAGCUCCAAUAGCGUAUAUUAAAGUUGUUGCAGUUAAAAAGCUCGUAGUUGAAUUUCGGGAUCAGAUUGUCGGUCGUGCCUCGGUACGUACUGGCAUUAUUGGUUCCUACCUUCUGAAGAACCGCGAUGUCAUUAAUUUGGUGUCGUGGGGAAUCAGGACUGUUACUUUGAAAAAAUUAGAGUGUUUAAAGCAGGCGCACGCUUGAAUACAUUAGCAUGGAAUAAUGAAAUAGGACGUUUGAUUCUAUUUUGUUGGUUUCUAGGAUCGACGUAAUGAUUAAUAGGGAUAGUUGGGGGCAUUAGUAUUCAAUUGUCAGAGGUGAAAUUCUUGGAUUUAUUGAAGACUAACUACUGCGAAAGCAUUUGCCAAGGAUGUUUUCAUUAAUCAAGAACGAAAGUUAGGGGAUCGAAGACGAUCAGAUACCGUCGUAGUCUUAACCAUAAACUAUGCCGACUAGGGAUCGGAUGAUGUUAAUUUUUUAAUGACUCAUUCGGCGCCUUACGGGAAAC
rnacentral:rRNA from 1 species